ensembl:lncRNA
GGUCCAGCAAAAUGAAGGCAGUUUAUACCAUUUUAAAACAUUACAAUACAUUCACAGAUUUCACAACACACUGUGUGCCCUCAGGCCCCUACUCCACCACUACCACAUAUCUACAGUACACUGUGUGCCCUCAGGCCCCUACUCCACCACUACCUCAUAUCUACAACACACUGUGUGCCCCCAGGCCCCUACUCCACCACUACCACAUAUCUACAACACACUGUGUGCCCUCAGGCCCCUACUGCACCACUACCACAUAUCUACAACACACUGUGUGCCCUCAGGCCCCUACUCCACCACUACCACAUAUCUACAACACACUGUGUGCCCUCAGGACCCUACUCCACCACUACCACAUAUCUACAACACACUGUGUGUCCUCAGGCCCCUACUGCACCACUACCACAUAUCUACAACACACUGUGUGUCCUCAGGCCCCUACUCCACCACUACCACACAUCUACAACAC